UUGCAGGGAAGGCCAUGUACACAUAAUGUCCUGCCUUUUGGAUAUAUCCCCAGAUGCAUGGAACACCAGCAGCAGGAACAAGAGAACACCACUUCAUACAGCUGCUUUACAUGGCCAGUUGCAAUGCGUGAAGCUGCUUCUAAAGAGGGGCCACUAUCCACCAGAUGUAGCUGACACUGUGGCACUACACCUUUCAUGGAUGCUGCGAGUGCAGAUCAGGUGGCCAUACUGGACUGCUUGGCAGAGCUCCAAAAGGCUGACGUAACCAAGAUGGACGUACUGGGUACAACAGCCUGCACCUGGCAGCGCAAACAGGUGCCACCUCUGCAGUUUUGUCACUUGUUGAGAAAUAUGCCCUAGACAUCAACAGCAUCAACUCUUGGGGACAGACUCCUCUGCAUUUGUCUGCCAAGGCAGGCCAAGAUGAUGUGGUUAAACUGCUAAUUGACCUGGGUGCUGUAUGCAAUGUCAGAGAUAACAAAGGUCGCACAGCAUAUGACCUGGCAAAGAAUAAUGGCCACAACACCUGCUGUAGACUCUUGCAGCAUCACAACAUGGAGCAACAAUAAAAAUGCUUCUUUCCAACAA